rnacentral:rRNA from 1 species
UACAGAGGAUGCAAGCGUUAUCCGGAAUGAUUGGGCGUAAAGCGUCUGUAGGUGGCUUUUUAAGUCCGCCGUCAAAUCCCAGGGCUCAACUCUGGACAGGCGGUGGAAACUACCAAGCUGGAGUACGGUAGGGGCAGAGGGAAUUUCCGGUGGAGCGGUGAAAUGCGCAGAUAUCAGGAGGAACACCGGUGGCGAAGGCGGGUCUCUGGGCCGAUACUGACGCUGAGGAGCGAAAGCGUGGGGAGCGAACAGG